rnacentral:lncRNA from 1 species
GGCGAGGAAAUUCCACUAAUAUCAAAAGGAGAUUACAAAUAGAGUUUUAACUCUCAAACCCAAAUCUCACAUACAACCAAUAGCUCUCACUUAAACUAAGAAACAAAUGGAGAAGAAGAAACACAUAUCAAAAUCCUUCUCUCCAAAAGCUACACAAGUAGCACCAACAUCUUUGAUUGAGUGAUUACUAACAAAAUGGGAUUAUUACAAAUGGUGGGAAUGAGCAGCUCAUAUUCAAAUGGGAGAACCGAAUGCUCUCCCUGGUUUCUCUCAUCUGCCGCUCCCUACACUUUUCUUCUCUUGGCUUCUCCUCAAACAUAUAGCAGCUGCUGCUGCCUUAGAAAAUACCAAAAGAAAAGCUCUUUUGUCAAGUUGCAAAGGAAGGAGCCGAAUAAACCAAUAAAAAUCCAAAGUAAAGGAAUAAUCAUUCCUUUACAAACAUCAUCAUACCCUUCCUUUUUCUUUUCAACAAACAUCAUCAUUGUGUUUUUAGUCAUGAUGAUGUCCACCAAACUUUUCUUUGUUUAAUAGUUGAAAGGAGAGUUGGCUUGUUGUCCACUUGGCCACUAAUUUGGCCACUAAUUUGGCCACUAUCCAACAAUCUCCACCUUGGCCAAAUUCCGAAAACAUCACAGAGAAUCGAAUCAACAAUCACCAUAAGCACCAAAGUACAAACUAAAGACAACGGGAACUAAAUCAAAUUCUCCAAACUUUCGGUACUCAUAAUGAUCUCCACCUCGACUCAAAUUUUACCAAAGCCAACAAAAGUAGAGCAUUUCUCUACCGUCUUCUCUAAAUUUGCAAACCAUAAGUGCCUUGAUCAAAACAAAAGGUGAUUCAAACGAAGAACUGAAAUUCUUCAAUAUCACCGACAAAAGAUCAAGCACACCAUACCAAAGUUGGACAUACAACGAACUCCACCUGCUCACAAACACCAUGGUCUGAAACUGCACCAAUAGACUCAUUCACAUAGCAUGGCACAUUCUCCAAGUCAAAACUGAUUACAAAUUUGGCAACAAAGUCUCACAUACCACAUACAAAAAAUAUGCCCUUCACUCAAGUUUACCAUCAUCACAUAAGCACCAACAGGACAACCAAAAAUUUCAAAUUCAAAUAAUCAGUAGGAGAUCCAAAACCAUACCUCAACUGGAGUCUUCAAGAAAACUAAUUGCAGAUGAUGGAGACCAACAAACCAAAUAGCAGUGGCAAACAAAUCCAACCAAAUGUACAUAAACCAAACAAAGUUAGAAAGCAUAUAAUUUGCCUUCUACAAGAGGGUUCCACACAAAUGUUCUGCAGUGCAUGUGGUGUAUCCAAAAUAGUGUGGUGCCUCACUAUCCAAACUUGCAGAACUCAACAAAUUGGCCCUCACAAACUCCUCCAAUGUUUCCAUCAACUUGCUCCAAAGGCAACUAGUGGGAGUGAAAAAAAACUUCUCUAUCGUUGAAAAAAUGCCAAAGAGAAGAAAACUUAGCCUUAGCCUUUUUCCCUUUUCUUUCAGCCAACAACAUCAUUUGCCAUCAUGAUGUCCUUCUGCCAAAACAAAUGCCGAAAGAAAAAGAACCAACAUUUUCUUUUCAAUUUUCAACUGCUUCUACCUUUUCUCCUUCCCACUCAACUCGUCGACAACAUCCCACAAACACCUCCGGUGCAGCGAUGACCAACGGAGAACCCACCAAAAGCAGUACACUACACCUCCAUCUCCAAUUGACCAAAUGCCAAAGUCAUUCCUCCUGUCGAAUUUUUUCAAAAAAACAUAUUUCACCGUCAUUCGAAUAUUUCAUAGACAUACUAGUACAAAGCCUCCAAGUCGAAACCCAGAGCUCUGAUACCACUUGUUGUGCGGAAGCGUCAAAUAUGAAACCAAUAAGCUACAACGGCAAAAUAUGACAAGACAAAUAAUCCAAAAGACACAAGGAUUUAUACUGGUUCGGCAUAAGCCUACAUCCAGUUCCGAAACGGCGAGGAAAUUCCACUAAUAUCAAAAGGAGAUUACAAAUAGAGUUUUAACUCUCAAACCCAAAUCUCACAUACAACCAAUAGCUCUCACUCAAACUAAGAAACAAAUGGAGAAGAAGAAACACAUAUCAAAAUCCUUCUCUCCCAAAAGCUACACAAGUAGCACCAACAUCUUUGAUUGAGUGAUUACUAACAAAAUGGGAUUAUUACAAAU